rnacentral:tRNA from 1 species
GAGCGUGAGGGCGGGUCCCUCGCUUACACCGAGGAGGUCGCGGGUUCGACCCCUGCCUCGCCCACCA